CACACACACACACACACACAAAUGAGCUUAAGCUUUCUCCCAUAAUAAUAGCCAAAUUGCAUUUAUUAACAGUUAUCAAUCCUUAAGACAAAAGCAAUACUAAAAUGUGAAAAAUAUCUUUCACAUUAUCGUCCUGUAAGUGAUUUUUUAAAGUAACAUCUAUUUUGUGAGUGCAAGUGGAGACUACAUGAAGAGUCCUUUAAGGGUGACCUUACCCACAUCCCCACUCUUCCAAAUCUCCAAGACAUUGGCCAGCCUCCCCUUCUGAUAGUGAAGUGUUCUCCGGUUGCCAUUGUCACAUCCAAGGUAAGGAAACCCAGAAUCAUUAGAGGUUGAAUAAUUUGCCCAGAUACAAGAGCUUUAGAUGAGAAGAACCUAUGUUAGCUGCAUUGAAGAGCAAAUGAUAUCGGUGUACUACACCUGGGAUAACGGGACAAAAGGAUUAAAGAUGGUGGCCCAGGGAGUCCUCAAAGAGAUGACCUGCUGACAAAGUCUGGAAUAAAGCAAGAGAGUGAGUUUUUUUGAGCACCGGCCCCCUCCUCCCCUCUCGCCAAAGCAGGGCCUCUUUCACAUCAAUGCAGCUACAGCGGGAAGUUACUGGAGGAACUGGAGUAAAAUGCAGAAUCAAGGGAUGAUGGUCACAGUAACAAAGCCAAAAAACAGUAGAUGUUGGCGUGUGGUAGCCCUUCCCCAAGCCAUCUCAGUCUGCCUUUCUCCCUGCAUUCAGACAUAGCCAAGGCUUGCAUCCAGGUGUGUUUUUGUUUCAUUCCAAUCCAUGACAUCCUGUUUUGCAAAUGCUUUCCCUAAAAGCUGAUCUCUGUUAUACAUAAGUCGUUGUUCACCACUUCCACGAUUAAGAGCUCCUGAGUAGGAGAAAGAGGGUGCCAUUUUUUUUUUUCCUGUCUGUGGAUUUAGGUAGACUGUCCGGACUUCAGUGCACCUGUCAUAUCUGCCUAAGGCUGGUUCCAAUUAGAAUCUGUCUUAUGGAACCAAGCAAAAGUUAGUUAAUGCUGUUGCUAUUUUCCCAUUUUGUGGCUCAGCAAUUAUUCAUAUGAUGCUAAGCCCUUGAAUGAGUAUCCUCCCAAGCACUGCUCUGAGGUCAUGGUAUUUAUGUUCAGAGAUACUUUUUCCAAGAUGUAACCUCUUAAUUUGAAAGACAUUGUAUACUCUAUUAGGAAGUACUGUUUUACUAGAAUAAAAGGUAAGAGUCUCUUCUUAUAUGGAGGAAAUUAUUAUUAAGAAUAAAUAGACUAUUUUUUUUUCUGAAACUGAAAUGUUCAGAAUAGUAUUCAGGGUGGAUUUAGGUGAAUGGACAGUGAAUGAUUUAUCAGUUCAUUACCUCAAAGUUUAGCAAAAAAAAUCUCAAAGGAAGAACCUAUAUUUAUUUCUGUAGAUGUUCAAGGUUCAAAUAAGUCUAAAAUAUACUGGUCUGAUUUUCUGCAGUUUUCAAAGGUUUACCAAAGCUGGGUGCAGAUUUGUAUUACCUCUUUAUAAAUGCACAUCCUUAUAAGAUGUAAACUCUGAUACUGACCCCUCAUAGAACACAUUUACCUCCUGCUCAUUCAGUAAUAGUGAGCAUAUCUAUGAUUCAUUAUAGUGCCUUUAUUACUAUAGCAUGAUGCAUACUGUUGCAAGCCUUGUUGAGGCAUAAUUGACAAAUAAAAAUUACAUAUGUGUGUGGUACACAUCAUGAUGUUUUGAUGUACGGAAACAUUGUGAACACUAUAAUCAAGUUAAUUAACAUAUUCAUCACCUAACGUAGUUAUCAUAUCUCUUUGUGUGGUAAGAAUAUUUAAGAUCUACUUUCUUAGAUGCAGUGGUGCUCAUCUAUAAUCUAGCAACUCAGAAGGCUGAAGCAGGAGAAUAAUAAGUUCAAGACCAGCUUGGACAACCUACCAAGACCCAGUCUUAAAAAUUAAAAUUAAAAUAAAUGGUUGGGUAUGUAUCUCAGUGCUAGAGUGCCUCUGGGUUUAACCUCCAGGACAAUAAUAAUAAUAAUAUAUAUUAUUUUUUUCUUAGCAACUUUCAAGCAUAUAAUAGAUUAUUAUUAAUCAUAGUUAGCAUGCUGUGCAAUAAAUUUCCAGGCUUGCACACUUUUUAACUGACACUUUGACCAAUAUUGCCCAUUCCCUCUUCAGUUCUAUAAGUUUGACUAUUUUUAAUUCCAUGUAUAAGUAAGAUCAUGCAGAUUUGUCCUUCUGUGUCUGGCUUA